AUACACCUCUUAUUUCCCUCAGUAUUAGGCUCUUUGUUGUUUGAAUGCAAUGAGCCAGGAGCGGUUAGCCAGACAAGUCUACAGCAAGAAGUGGAAGAGGGGCCGUCAAGAGAUGGAAUCUGUGCGAAAUGGAUUGAGAGAAGAAUUGCUACAAGAAAACAAUGUACCCCACGGCUUGAACUGACACAACAAGAACCAAUCAGAAUUUGGAACUCUAACCAUGAGGACUCCUUUUUGUUAUUGUCAGAUACUGAGCCUAAGAAUAAGAUAACAAUGGGGUGCGAGCAAACUAAUAUAAAAUUUAUACCGCUAGAUGACGCGUCAUACUUGGGCCUUGUUCAUAUUGUUGAAAUAAAGAAAAACUACGCUUAA
rnacentral:lncRNA from 1 species